rnacentral:rRNA from 2 species
AAAUUGAAGAGUUUGAUCAUGGCUCAGAUUGAACGCUGGCGGCAGGCCUAACACAUGCAAGUCGAGCGGUAGCACAAGAGAGCUUGCUCUCUGGGUGACGAGCGGCGGACGGGUGAGUAAUGUCUGGGAAACUGCCUGAUGGAGGGGGAUAACUACUGGAAACGGUAGCUAAUACCGCAUAACGUCUACGGACCAAAGUGGGGGACCUUCGGGCCUCACGCCAUCAGAUGUGCCCAGAUGGGAUUAGCUAGUAGGUGGGGUAAUGGCUCACCUAGGCGACGAUCCCUAGCUGGUCUGAGAGGAUGACCAGCCACACUGGAACUGAGACACGGUCCAGACUCCUACGGGAGGCAGCAGUGGGGAAUAUUGCACAAUGGGCGCAAGCCUGAUGCAGCCAUGCCGCGUGUGUGAAGAAGGCCUUAGGGUUGUAAAGCACUUUCAGCGAGGAGGAAGGGUAGUGUGUUAAUAGCACAUUGCAUUGACGUUACUCGCAGAAGAAGCACCGGCUAACUCCGUGCCAGCAGCCGCGGUAAUACGGAGGGUGCAAGCGUUAAUCGGAAUUACUGGGCGUAAAGCGCACGCAGGCGGUUUGUUAAGUCAGAUGUGAAAUCCCCGCGCUUAACGUGGGAACUGCAUUUGAAACUGGCAAGCUAGAGUCUUGUAGAGGGGGGUAGAAUUCCAGGUGUAGCGGUGAAAUGCGUAGAGAUCUGGAGGAAUACCGGUGGCGAAGGCGGCCCCCUGGACAAAGACUGACGCUCAGGUGCGAAAGCGUGGGGAGCAAACAGGAUUAGAUACCCUGGUAGUCCACGCUGUAAACGAUGUCGAUUUGGAGGUUGUGCCCUUGAGGCGUGGCUUCCGGAGCUAACGCGUUAAAUCGACCGCCUGGGGAGUACGGCCGCAAGGUUAAAACUCAAAUGAAUUGACGGGGGCCCGCACAAGCGGUGGAGCAUGUGGUUUAAUUCGAUGCAACGCGAAGAACCUUACCUACUCUUGACAUCCAGAGAACUUUCCAGAGAUGGAUUGGUGCCUUCGGGAACUCUGAGACAGGUGCUGCAUGGCUGUCGUCAGCUCGUGUUGUGAAAUGUUGGGUUAAGUCCCGCAACGAGCGCAACCCUUAUCCUUUGUUGCCAGCGAUUCGGUCGGGAACUCAAAGGAGACUGCCGGUGAUAAACCGGAGGAAGGUGGGGAUGACGUCAAGUCAUCAUGGCCCUUACGAGUAGGGCUACACACGUGCUACAAUGGCGUAUACAAAGAGAAGCGAACUCGCGAGAGCAAGCGGACCUCAUAAAGUACGUCGUAGUCCGGAUUGGAGUCUGCAACUCGACUCCAUGAAGUCGGAAUCGCUAGUAAUCGUAGAUCAGAAUGCUACGGUGAAUACGUUCCCGGGCCUUGUACACACCGCCCGUCACACCAUGGGAGUGGGUUGCAAAAGAAGUAGGUAGCUUAACCUUCGGGAGGGCGCUUACCACUUUGUGAUUCAUGACUGGGGUGAAGUCGUAACAAGGUAACCGUAGGGGAACCUGCGGUUGGAUCACCUCCUUA